AAGUACCUGCUGGAUCAAGCAGUCCCCAUAAGGGCAAGGUCUGAAAGUACCUGCUGGAUCAAGCAGUCGCCAUAAGGGCAAGGUCUGAAAGUACCUGCUGGAUCAAGCAGUCGCCAUAAGGGCAAGGUCUGAAAGUACCUGCUGGAUCAAGCAGUCGCCAUAAGGGCAAGGUCUGAAAGUACCUGCUGGAUCAAGCAGUCCCCAUAAAGGCAAGGUCUGAAAGUACCUGCUGGAUCAAGCAGUCCCCAUAAGGGCAAGGUCUGAAAGUACCUGCUGGAUCAAGCAGUCCCCAUAAGAGGCAAGGUCUGAAAGUACCUGCUGGAUCAAGCAGUCGCCAUAAGGGCAAGGUCUGAGUACCUUCUGGACCAAGCAUAAAGGUCUUGUAACUCUUUCAAUUCAAAAGAAGAAACAUACGUGACACUCCAGUAAGCCCACACAGAUUACCCUCCAGUAAGUCCACACAGAUUACCCUCCAGUAAGCCCACACAGAUUACCCUCCAGUAAGCCCACACAGAUUACCCUCCAGUAAGCCCACACAGAUUACCCUCCAGUAAGCCCACACAGAUUACACCCCAGUAAGUCCACACGUAGAGUAAACUCCAGUAAGCCCACACAUAGAGUACCCGCCAGUGUCGUAAGGAAAACAAAUUUGGACGUCCGACAUUCCAUCCACUGUAUCUUAUAAAUGGGUAGAUUCAAUAGAGCGUGAUAAGGGAAAAACUACUCAACACAUAUAUUACUUCUGUAUUUCUGUUUAAUAUGCAACUGUAAAAUAAUAUGUACAAGUAUGUUUUCAUCACGUUUCAUCACGUAUUAUUCACUGUUGAACAGCAGAGAAUGACAUUUCUAGUUAAACACAUCUUUACUGCUGUAUGUAUUCAACAUGUUUUGAAUAAAUGGCAGAUGUGGUAA